rnacentral:rRNA from 1 species
AGGGUGCAGGGCGGAUGCCUUGGCACUAGGAGCCGAUGAAGGACGUGAUAAGCUGCGAUAAGCUUCGGGGAGUUGCACGUAAACUUUGAUCCGAAGAUUUCCGAAUGAGGAAACUCACUUAGAGUAAUGUCUAAGUAUCAUUAAGUGAAUACAUAGCUUAAUGAGGGGAACUCAGGGAACUGAAACAUCUAAGUACCUGAAGGAAGAGAAAGAAAUUCGAUUCCGUAAGUAGCGGCGAGCGAACGCGGAUUAGCCCAAACCAAUAAAGUUUUCUUUAUUGGGGUUGCGGACAUAUCAUAACGAAGAGGUAUCGUAAUUGAAGAGGUUUGGAAAGACCCACCACAGAAGGUAAUAGUCCUGUAUGUUAAACGAGAAGACUUCAGAUAUGAUCCAGAGUACCACGGGACACGUGAAACCCUGUGGGAAGCAGGAGGGACCACCCUCCAAGGCUAAAUACUACCUAGUGACCGAUAGCGUAUAGUACCGUGAGGGAAAGGUGAAAAGAACCCCGGGAGGGGAGUGAAAUAGAACCUGAAACCCUGCACUUACAAGCUGUGGAAGCACAUUUCUUGUGUGACCGCGUACUUUUUGUAGAACGGGCCAACGAGUUACGUUAAGUAGCAAGGUUAAGCACUUAAGGUGCGGAGCCGUAGCGAAAGCGAGUUUUAACUGAGCGUUCAGUUACUUGACGUAGACCCGAAACCGGGCGACCUACCCAUGAGCAGGAUGAAGCGAAAGUAAAAUUUCGUGGAGGUCCGAACCCACGAGCGUUGAAAAGCUCGGGGAUGACUUGUGGGUAGCGGUGAAAUUCCAAUCGAGCCCGGAGAUAGCUGGUUCUCCCCGAAAUAGCUUUAGGGCUAGCCUCAAGGUGAGAGAUACGGAGGUAGAGCACUGAAUGUCCUAGGGGGUAUUGCACCUACCGAAGACUAUCAAACUCCGAAUGCCGUCAUCUUAUACUUGGGAGUCAGACUGUGGGUGAUAAGAUUCAUAGUCGAAAGGGCAACAGCCCAGAUCGUCAGCUAAGGUCCCUAAAUGUAAGUUAAGUGGUAAAGGAUGUGGGAUUGCACAGACAACCAGGAUGUUGGCUUAGAAGCAGCCACUCAUUCAAAGAGUGCGUAAUAGCUCACUGGUCGAGUGAUCCUGCGCCGAAGAUUUCCGGGGCUAAAACUUACUACCGAAGCUACGGCAUCAGUAAUGAUGGGUAGGGGAGCUUCCCAUACGGGUUGAAGCAUGACCGUAAGGACAUGUGGACAGUAUGGGAGUGAGAAUGUUGGCAUGAGUAGCGAGAUGUGGGUGAGAAUCCCACAGGCCGUAAACCCAAGGUUUCCAGGGGAAGGUUCGUCCGCCCUGGGUUAGUCGGGACCUAAGCUGAGGCCGAAAGGCGUAGGUGAUGGACAACAGGUUGAUAUUCCUGUACUACCGAUAACCGUUUGAGAGAAGGGAUGACACAGUAGGAUAAGCUAAGCACACUGUUGGUUAUGUGUGCCCAAGCAUUGAGGCAGUCAAAGUAGGCAAAUCCGCUUUGAUAAUGCUGGGAUGUGAUGGGGAGCGAAAUUUAGUAGCGAAGUAGCUGAUUUCACACUGUCAAGAAAAGUCUCUAUCGAGGUUAAAGGUACCCGUACCGCAAACCGACACAGGUGGGUGAGGAGAGUAUCCUAAGGCCAGCGAGAGAACUGUUGUUAAGGAACUCGGCAAAAUGACCCCGUAACUUAGGGAUAAGGGGUGCCACCAUCAGGUGGCCGCAGAGAAUAGGCCCAAGCGACUGUUUACCAAAAACAUAGGUUUCUGCUAAGUCGCAAGACGAUGUAUAGGAGCUGACGCCUGCCCGGUGCUGGAAGGUUAAGGGGAUCUGUUAGAGCAAUCGAAGCAGUGAACUUAAGCCCCAGUAAACGGCGGCCGUAACUAUAACGGUCCUAAGGUAGCGAAAUUCCUUGUCGGGUAAGUUCCGACCCGCACGAAAGGCGUAACGAUUUGGGCACUGUCUCAACAACAGACUCGGUGAAAUUGUAAUUCCGGUGAAGAUGCCGGAUACCUGCGACAGGACGGAAAGACCCCAUGGAGCUUUACUGUAGCUUGACAUUGGGUCUUGGUACUACAUGUACAGGAUAGGUGGGAGGCUUUGAAACCAGGACGCCAGUUUUGGCGGAGCCAUCCUUGGGAUACCACCCUUGUAGUACUGGGACUCUAACCAUAGGCCAUGAAUCUGGUCUUGGGACACUGUCAGGUGGGCAGUUUGACUGGGGCGGUCGCCUCCCAAAAGGUAACGGAGGCGCUCAAAGGUUCUCUCAGUACGGUCGGAAAUCGUACGUAGAGUGUAAAGGCAAAAGAGAGCUUGAUUGCAAGACAUACAGGUCGAGCAAGGAUGAA